UCCCUGGAGGACUAGUGGUUAGGCCCCUGGGGUCUCACUGCCGUGGCCUGGGUUUGAUUCCUGGCCAGGGAA